ensembl:snoRNA
AGCACGCUCCUUAGAUCCACCUCUGGAGGGCGCUGCUCUGUGAGCAGAGCUCCUCAGCAGCUUUCUGGCUGUACAGUUGGAGGUGCUUGAGUCAUUGGCGUGUGAGAGCAGUCCACCUGUUCCCCAGCCCACCUGCUGCACUGGCAACCUGGUCAUCAGACAGGAACUCCCAGUGCAGCUAGUCUGGGGGACGGAUAGU